CUGAGCAGAAAGCGGGUAGAUCCGGACAAGGAGAGGGGGCGUCAAGGAAGCGGGUGGAGACCGCGCGAGACGCUGACUGGGUAAAGGCCUGAGAGAAGGGAGUGAAUCACCCAGAAGUCCGGCGCUUCUGGCCAUCCUGCUUAGAAGUGCCAGGUUCACCUUACUCAGACAAGUCAACACCUUUGAGCCUCAGCUUUCUACAAAGUAGACAUGAUAAACCUACUUCCCCAGCUUGUCAGCAAGAUUUAAUGAGAGCAUGCAUACCAUGUUUCCUGAUAUACACCAGCUGAUAUCCAGUGUCUAACCUCAAGAAGGUACCCAAGGAACACUGAAAUGCAGAAGAGGAACUGGAGCACAGAGAAGCUCGUAUAAACGCCCAGGAGCACCUAUCUGGUGGGAAAAACAUACAACUCAAUGUCCAGUCAAAUCUGCGGUCAAACUGCUGGAAAGGAGAGACUGCCGGAAAGGAGAACCUGUCAGUAGUCAGGAUGGCCAGCACCAUCUUAAUUACUGAUGGUCUCACCCAAAGCAGGCUUCAAAAGGUGUGGUGUCUUGUCAGUUCAAACACUUGAAAUACCAGGCAUUAUCAUUUUCUCGAAAGUUUCAUAGACAGCGGCCAGGUAGGCUGUGUAGAGUCCAGGUGCAACUUUUAGUAAGGUCUCAGGGAGUCUUUGGAGCUGAACCAGUGCUGUGUGUGCCCACACAUUCAAUUUUAGUAUUCUUUACAGAGAUGACUAAGCCACAGAGACUGU